UACGAAGGGGCUAGCGUUGCUCGGAAUCACUGGGCGUAAAGGGUGCGUAGGCGGGUCUUUAAGUCAGGGUGAAAUCCUGGAGCUCAACUCCAGAACUGCCUUCGAUACUGGGAGUCUCGAGUCCGAGAGAGGUGAGUGGAACUGCGAGUGUAGAGGUGAAAUUCGUAGAUAUUCGCAAGAACACCAGUGGCGAAGGCGGCUCACUGGCUCGG
rnacentral:rRNA from 1 species